GUGGUAGGCUUUGUUCCUGGGCAUUCUUGUAAACCAUCUUUGUGAGUUUUUCUUCAGCUUCGCUCCAGAUAGUUGGGAUGUAUUCUGAGAACGUAUCAUUUUUCUUGGCUCAUCAGUAAUGAAAUUGACUCCAAAAAGAUGGAUGCCAUGUGUACAGAUUCACAGCGAGUCCCACUUGUUGCCCAAAGGAUGGUGAAGAUGUGUUUUACCUGCUUGGCUAUUAGACUUUAUCAAAACAAAUUCAAUAAAAUAUUACAAAAA